UUGUGCCUACGGGACGCAGCAGUGAGGAAUAUUGGUCAAUGGGCGGGAGCCUGAACCAGCCAUGCCGCGUGAAGGCGAGUGCCCUACGGGCGUUAAACUUCUUUUGUGCGGGAGCAAUAAGGGCCACGCGUGGCCCGAUGAGAGUACCGCACGAAUAAGCAUCGGCUAACUCCGUGCCAGCAGCCGCGGUAAUACGGGGGAUGCGAGCGUUAUCCGGAUUUAUUGGGUUUAAAGGUUGCGUAGGCGGCGCUUCAGGUCAGCGGUG
rnacentral:rRNA from 1 species